UGAGGAACAUGACCUUCGGCGGGGAUAGCCGGCCCAACGGCCGGGUAAUACCGCGUACGACCACAUGGGGACAUCCCUGAGUGGUGAAAGCAGCAAUGCGCCGAUGGAGUGCCUCGCGGCCUAUCAGCUAGUUGGUGAGGUAACGGCUCACCAAGGCAACGACGGGUAGCUGGUCUGAGAGGAUGGCCAGCCACAUUGGGACUGAGACACGGCCCAGACUCUACGGGAGG
rnacentral:rRNA from 1 species